rnacentral:rRNA from 1 species
GAUGAACGCUGGCGGCGUGCCUAACACAUGCAAGUCGAACGAAGCGCUUUGAAGUUUUCGGACAGAUGAGUGACUGAGUGGCGGACGGGUGAGUAACGCGUGGGUAACCUGCCUCAUACAGGGGGAUAACAGUUAGAAAUGACUGCUAAUACCGCAUAAGCGCACAGUACCGCAUGGUACAGUGUGAAAAACUCCGGUGGUAUGAGAUGGACCUGCGUCUGAUUAGCUAGUUGGUGAGGUAACGGCCCACCAAGGCGACGAUCAGUAGCCGACCUGAGAGGGUGACCGGCACAUUGGGACUGAGACACGGGCCCAAACUCCUACGGGAGCAGCAGUGGGGAAUAUUGCACAAUGGGGGAAACCCUGAUGCAGCGACGCCGCGUGAGUGAAGAAGUAUUUCGGUAUGUAAAGCUCUAUCAGCAGGGAGAAAAUGACGGUACCUGACUAAGAAGCCCCGGNUAACUACGUGCCAGCAGCCG